ensembl:lncRNA
UCUUUCUCACAAGGGUAGUACAAAACUUUCAAGCAAGAACAUUUCUCUUUUAUUUUCUAAUACAAUAAUGCUUUAAUUUACAGUUGUAAAUAAUAAUCAUGCUGUAUGUGUACUUGUUUUAACUUGAAUAGAACAGCCAUUCAGUGCUCACUGUUUCUCAAAUUACCGUAGAUGGGUAACCAAAAACAGAUUCCUUAAGAAUGUCAUGCAAACAUUUUCCAUGUGUGUGACUGCAUGGAUCAAAUUGGGAAAUAAACAGACUUUAGACAUAAGGCUGGAUUCACAGGGCCUGGGAUAUAAUUAUUAGGGAGGGCCACAGCCACCAUAUACGUUUAGCAGUGUACAGAUUCUGUGACACAAAUCACACUUGUGGAAACUUGUAGACACUUGCGUCACUCUCUGUCUUUCGUGCAUCCCUGUUUUUUGAUUACUUGCUCAGGAUUAUACUGUUGAUUCCAGACAUGACAAUCUUCUGAUCUCAACAGUUUGUCUUUUACGCUGUCCUCUCAGCCUAGUUUGGUUGUGUCUCAUUUAGACGUGUAUAUCAGAUGUAAAUCCAUCCACUCUGUUCUGAGGAAAAUAAAGGAUUUACAAGGAUUAGCAGAGAACAACAGACACAAGGCACUGUCCGAGUUCAGCUGGUGCCCUUCAUCAGAUAUCUAGUCAACCUUUAAUCACAAGAGUGGAGGCAGAGGGCAAGUUGGAUGCAAAAUUACUACUGCGAGCUUUGGGUCACUUUUUCAGACUUAAAAAAGCAGUGGCUUUUUAUGGAGCCUACCAGUUCUAACCUAGUUCUGGCGCAAUCAAGGUAAACAAUAACUAUGCCAAUAACUAUCACGUGUUAGAUGUUUCCAAGUUGAAAAGUAGAUCAUCAGCACCAUCAUAUUCACGUGCAGUGUCUGGAUAAACAGCCGCAACAGCUGUAAAUACACUGCAGAAGAAAGAGCCUGUAUGGGGAAAAUCCUGGAAACCUGCCUGCAGAGUUCAGUUCCGACCCUGAUCCAACUAGUGCUCCUGAAGAUCUUAGUUUGCUGGUUCACUUGUGUUUGAUCAAGGUUGGAGACAAACUUUUCAUGAAGGUAGAUCCCCUGAAACAGGAUUAGGAACUCAUGCAGUCAAGGAUUACUUCGUUUCUAGUUUUUGUCAAUCCAUGCUUUGGGUCGCAUAAGAAAUAAGUAAAAAAAAAAAAAAAAAAAUCCUGUAUACGUGCAUCUACAGAGCAGAAUAUCACAGACACUUUUACAGCCAUAUGCCUUUAUCAGGAACAUCAUACAUACAGUAAUUGCCCCGUUACAUUCAGUCUAUUUGUAGAGCAAGCUAUAUCUACGUAUCAU